rnacentral:rRNA from 1 species
AUACAUAGGGGGCAAGCGUUAUCCGGAAUUAUUGGGCGUAAAGGGUGCGUAGGCGGCCUAUUAAGUCUGAGGUGUAAGUGCAGGGCUCAACCCUGUGAUGCUUUAGAAACUGGUAGACUUGAGUGAGAUAGAGGCAAGUGGAAUUCCAUGUGUAGCGGUAAAAUGCGUAAAUAUAUGGAGGAACACCAGUGGCGAAGGCGGCUUGCUGGGUCUAUACUGACGCUGAGGCACGAAAGCGUGGGGAUAGAACAGGAUUAGAUACCCUGGUAUUCCACGCCGUAAACGAUGAUGACUAACCGUCGGCGAUAGACAGCCGGUGGCCAAGCGAAAGCGAUAAGUCAUCCACCUGGGGAGUACGUCGGCAACGAUGAAACUCAAAUGAAUUGGCGGGG